CAGGUGGAACCAAGUUUCGUUGUUUGUGUUUUCGAUUGAACAACACUUGUUAUAUCUUUGGCCCUCGUCUCUGCCUUUUCUUCUAUCGAUUUAACAAAUUAGGGUUCUUUGUUUUUGGUUAACGUAAAAAUUAGGGUUCUCUCGUUGUUUCUUCUUCUCGUCUGAAGUUGGCUUAUAAACUUAGAAAACAGAACCAACCUUCCAUUUUCCAGCUAGAAGAACUUUGGUUUUGAAGAAAGCUAAUAAUAAAGAAGAUUAAUAAGAUAUGGAAGGUUCAGAAGAUGCUUCUGCAAUUGUAGAACCUCCUGACCCUGAAGUUCUUGAAAUCGACCCAACUUGUCGAUAUAUUCGGUACAAAGAAGUAAUAGGCAAAGGCGCCUCCAAGACAGUUUUCAAGGGAUUCGAUGAAGUAGAUGGGAUUGAAGUUG